UGAAAAAAAAAUCUUUAGAUUCACAUCCCAAUCUUCAAUCUGAUAGAUGUAACACAACUUGCGUAAACCUUGCGAGUAAAAGACCACCGGAGUUCCGGCGACUCCGUCAUCGGACCACAACUUCAUGUCGCGGUGAACCGUGAUUUUAUUGAAGCUGCUGGAAGAACCCACCGGAUCUCCAAAAAACUGUCGUCUCCGGCGACGGUUAAGCAGCCGGAGAUCGGCGUCGUCGCUGCCGGUAAAUGUGCCGAACUGACAUCGUUGAUGAUGAUGAGGAGGAUGAUUGUAGCGUCGGUUAACCGGGGAGUUGAAUCGCCGGGGGAAGAUUUUCGGGUAAGAGAUUGUUAUGCGUGACGGUAGGAACCGUGGCCGGUGAUGUUGGAGAUAUUGUUACGUCGUCGUUUCAGAAAGUGAUUCUGCCGUUUGAUUUGAAUGUUCCGGCAACGGUGGAAGACACGUGCGGUUUUCCGGUGGACGAUGGGGGAUAAUAGUUUUUGAAACAACACAGAGACUAAGGAAAAAAAAGUGAUUUGGAUAUUGUGUAUUCGAUUCUUAAAUACGUUAAAGGAUGUUGAUGAUGUACCCGGAUUUGAUGUACCCGGAUUUGAUGAACGACAAUAAUCUGAAUCCAAAAGUGAUGUUGAUGAAUUCCUAAUGUUGAAGAUCGCCGGUAAUUUUU
rnacentral:lncRNA from 1 species